GAGGAUGCAAGCGUUAUCCGGAAUAAUUGGGCGUAAAGCGUUCGUAGGUGGUUCUGUAAGUCUGCUGUUAAAGCGUGUAGCUCAACUACAUAUAGGCGGUGGAAACUACAGAACUUGAGUGCGUUCGGGGUAGAGGGAAUUCCUGGUGUAGCGGUGAAAUGCGUAUAGAUCAGGAAGAACACCGGUGGCGAAGGCGCUCUACUAGACCGCAACUGACACUGAGGGACGAAAGCUAGGGGAGCGAAAGGGAUUAGAUACCCCAGUAGUC
rnacentral:rRNA from 1 species